rnacentral:rRNA from 1 species
UACGGAGGGUGCAAGCGUUAUCCGGAUUCACUGGGUUUAAAGGGUGCGUAGGCGGUCAGGUAAGUCCGUGGUGAAAUCUCCAAGCUUAACUUGGAAACUGCCGUGGAUACUAUUUGUCUUGAAUAUAGUGGAGGUGAGCGGAAUAUGUCAUGUAGCGGUGAAAUGCUUAGAUAUGACAUAGAACACCCAUUGCGAAGGCAGCUCGCUACACUAUUAUUGACGCUGAGGCACGAAAGCGUGGGGAUCAAACAGG